rnacentral:rRNA from 1 species
CCCGACUGCUAUCAGAGUGGGACUAAGCCAUGCGAGUCAACAUAGCAAUAUGUGGCAUAUGGCUCAGUAACACGUAGUCAACAUGCCCAGGGGACGUGGAUAACCUCGGGAAACUGAGGAUAAACCGCGAUAGGUCAUCACUUCUGGAAUGGGUAAUGACUUAAAUCUAUAUGGCCCCUGGAUUGGACUGCGGCCGAUCAGGCUGUUGGUGAGGUAAUGGCCCACCAAACCUGUAACCGGUACGGGCUCUGAGAGGAGGAGCCCGGAGAUGGGCACUGAGACAAGGGCCCAGGCCCUAUGGGGCGCAGCAGGCGCGAAACCUCUGCAAUAGGCGAAAGCUUGACGGGGUUACUCUGAGUGAUUUCCGUUAAGGAGAUCUUUUGGCACCUCUAAAAAUGGUGCAGAAUAAGGGGUGGGCAAGUCUGGUGUCAGCCGCCGCGGUAAUACCAGCACCCCGAGUGGUCGGGACGUUUAUUGGGCCUAAAGCAUCCGUAGCCGGUUCUACAAGUCUUCCGUUAAAUCCACCUGCUUAACAGAUGGGCUGCGGAAGAUACUAUAGAGCUAGGAGGCGGGAGAGGCAAGCGGUACUCGAUGGGUAGGGGUAAAAUCCGUUGAUCCAUUGAAGACCACCAGUGGCGAAGGCGGCUUGCCAGAACGCGCUCGACGGUGAGGGAUGAAAGCUGGGGGAGCAAACCGGAUUAGAUACCCGGGUAGUCCCAGCUGUAAACGAUGCAGACUCGGUGAUGAGUUGGCUUAUUGCUAACUCAGUGCCGCAGGGAAGCCGUUAAGUUUGCCGCCUGGGGAGUACGGUCGCAAGACUGAAACUUAAAGGAAUUGGCGGGGGAGCACCACAAGGGGUGAAGCCUGCGGUUCAAUUGGAGUCAACGCCGGAAAUCUUACCAGGGGCGACAGCAGAGUGAAGGUCAAGCUGAAGACUUUACCAGACAAGCUGAGAGGAGGUGCAUGGCCGUCGCCAGCUCGUGCCGUGAGGUGUCCUGUUAAGUCAGGUAACGAGCGAGAUCCCUGCCUCUAGUUGCUACCAUUAUUCUCAGGAGUAGUGGAGCUAAUUAGAGGGACCGCCGUCGCUGAGACGGAGGAAGGUGGGGGCUACGGCAGGUCAGUAUGCCCCGAAACCCUCGGGCCACACGCGGGCUGCAAUGGUAAGGACAAUGAGUUUCGAUUCCGAAAGGAGGAGGCAAUCUCUAAACCUUACCACAGUUAUGAUUGAGGGCUGAAACUCGCCCUCAUGAAUAUGGAAUCCCUAGUAACCGCGUGUCACUAUCGCGCGGUGAAUACGUCCCUGCUCCU